rnacentral:misc_RNA from 1 species
UCGAGUUACCGCUCUACAACCCUUUGUGAACAUACCUAACUGUUGCUUUCGGCGGGCAGGGGGUCCCCCGGGGACGCCCUCCCGGCCCCGCCCCCCUACCAGGGGACGUGGCGCCCGCCGGAGGAUACCCAACUCUAUUUUAACGACGUUUCUUCUGAGUGGCACAAGCAAAUAAUUA